CCCUGCGCCUGGGGUCGGCGGACAAACAGCGGGCCGUCUAGCCACGCCCCCACUGAGAGCUGCGGAAAACUACACUUCCCAGGGUUCCCCGCGGCGACGUGGCGCUGCCGGGGGCAGAGGGCCCGGGCUGGGGGCGGGGCCGCCGGGGUCGCAGUCGGAAGACUCGGGAGGGUGUCCGCCUGACGCCGCGGGAGCGAAGGCCGGGCGGGAGGCCUUGGCCUUCCGGAGGGAGGUAGAGGGGAAGGGGACAACACAAGGGAAGACCGAGGAGCCGCAAGUUCCCUCUACGGCUUAGCUCACCCGCUUACCCAGGCCACGCGGAGGCGCAGAGGUGGUUCGCCAAGGAAAAGCGUGGAUAUUUCGCCAGACGGCAAAAUUCUGGGAUGUCAGAGUUACAGGGCUUGGAGGUGGGGGAGAGCAAAGGUUGGCAGCAGGUCCCGAGCCUAGAGGGCAGCAGAGGCCCCGGGACCGAGGGAGGGACUGCUGUGUCGCUGGGUCUUGGUCCGGGAGAGGUCGGCCCUGAGGAGCAGGUGGUGGGCGUGAGCAAGGCUGGGGGCCAGAGAGGAACAGCAGGGACGGUUUGCAGAUUCCCAGCACCCAGUUCACUAGAAGAGUCAGCAAAUUCUCCUGCCGCCAUCUCCCUCAUCCGCAACUCUGGCAGGGUUGGGCUCCAUUGCUGGGAAUCUGGGUGGCCUCUCCCAAAAGACCGGAGUAGCAGUGGGCUACCCAGCCCUAUGCCCUGCAGCUCUGCUACCCUGAUCCUGUUAGCUGUGCACGGUGCCCCAACAUUUACAGUCCUGGUAAUAUCGCUCACACUUAUCAAACACCCACCGUGACUAUUCUUAUAUCUUGUUCUAAGUAACUCUCACAAUAGCUUUAUGAUGAAGUCUUAUCACUUCCAUUUUUUCGCGAGGAAAAUUGAGGGACAGAACGGGGUAUGUUUAAGGUCAUGUAGCUUUUCAUUCGUCCUAUGAAUGAGUCUGGCUCCCACAGGACAUAUUACAGGUACACACACGUAACAUAGCAGGUGUUCCAUACAUGAACACGGUGACUUCGCCAGGAAUGAGUGCUGAGUUUAGCCUGAAGCCAGGCAGGGCCUCAAAAUAUUGUAAUACCGGGGGGCUCAAAUCUGGGGCUUUCACUUACUGGUUAUUCACCACCUGUCCAUAAGUGCCAGGAACUUUUCUGGGGCUGAAAAGGUGGUACAGGGUCUGUGUCCCAGGAAGUUUGAGAUUUAAUGGGUCUUAGGGCUUUGGAGUAGUGCCUCUCUGUCUAAGAUCCAGCAUCAGCCCCUCCAAGUCCUUAGAGAUGUGUUCCUCUUCCUACUGGGGACUUAGGGUUCCAGUGAGAGGAGGGUAGGGUAGGGUAAAGCCCCCUGAGGGUCACUGCAAGUAGCUAUAGGCCCAGGAGCCGAUGGUCUUGAGGCUGUGGGCUUGGGGGAAGGAAUACUGCUUCCAUUCUUCUUUGGUUUCUUCAGCGUCUUGGGAAUGUGAGGAGAGAGGAAAGAAAGGUGAGUUCAGCCAGCAGCCAAGCUGGCACCUCCCAUCUGUCUCUCUCUCCCCAGGCAUGAUAGAGUCUUGUCUGGGCUUGGCCAAGCGGGGGCUGGAGACCUGUGGGAGAGAAGAGGAUGGGAAGGAGGGGGAAAGUCCAUAGAACUUGCUUUUCCUAGAUGUCUCAGUGCACCCGGGUGGCCUCCUUCUUCCCCAUCCUAAAUAAUUCAGUCCACACCCCUGGAGAAAACUUGUGUUGGGACAUGAGGAAGAAUUUCCCAACUGGAAGGAAAGCAUAUAGGAUCUCCUGGGGUGGAGAUGUGGGGGGGGGGGCGGAAUUCUUACCCACCCAGCCCUCUCUUCCUAGAGAGCAGUGGAGGAUGGCGUGACCCCUGGAGAAAUCUGCCUCCCAAUGACAGACUAGAGCACAAAUCCUACCUUGGACACCUCCCCCGACCCCAUCAGACCCCAGGCAUUCCCUCCCCUCUCCCAAGGCUGCUCCACUCCCUGUGGCAGAAUUGGUAGGGCUAUGGGUGGGCUCGGCUGGGAUAGAGGUCUGCUUUUUUUUUUUGCUUUUUAGGGCUGCACUCACGGCACUUGAAAGUUCCUAGGCUAGGGGUCAAAUCAGAGCUCCAGCUGCCAGUCCCAGCCCCAGCCUCAGCAAUAAGGGAUUGAAGCCUCGUUUGUGACCUACACCAUAGCUCAUGGCAAUGCCGGAUCCCUGACCUACUGAGCAAAGCCAGGGAUUGAACCCCAUGUCCUCAUGGAUGCUGGUCGGAUUUGUUUUCCGCCUCGCCAUGAUGGGAACUCCAGAGGUCUUUCUUUAUUUUCAAAAUCCACUUACCCUAUUAGAGAAGGGGUCCCUGGGGAUGUGGGGAGCCAACAAGAGUGCUGGUCCCAGAUGCUCUUGCUCAGUUCUCAGUUCCGCCCCAUCUCCCUUCCUUCCCUUCAUCAUCGUGAUUUACCGACAGUGUCAAAUCUCAUCUUUUUCCCUGGGAUUCCCUACAAUCUAUUCAUCACACAUCGGAACAUGUCCCUGCCCUGCUUAAACCCUGCAAGGGCUUCCUAUCACCCUUGGGAAAAAACUCAAACUGUCCCCUUUGUCUAAAAUGCCCUUCUCGGAGUUCCUGUCAUGGUGCAGCGGAAACGAAUCCCACUAGGAACCAUGAGGUUGCAGGUUUGAUCCCUGGCCUUGCUCAGUGGGUUAAGCAUCUGGUGUUGCUGUGAGCGGUGGUGUAGGUCACAGAUGCGGCUCGGAUCCUGUGUGGCUGUGGCUGUGGCGUAGGCCGGUGGCUACGGUUCCGAUUUGACCCCUAGCCUGGGAACCUCCAUAUGCUUAGGGUUCAGCCCUAAAAAGAAAAAAAUAAAAAAAAAAUAAAAUGUCCUUCUCUCAGCUCUUGGCAUGGUGGGCUCCUUGCCUGUCUGGGUUCUGUACGCAUGUCGCUCCAUCUUUGUGGAUUCUUUGCCCAAGCACUUGCCCUAGAGAUUGAGAGAGAGCCACUGUCGAGGCCAUCCUCUCUCAUCAUGCUUUAUUUUCUCAUAGUACUUAGCAGUGUCUGAAAUUACCGUAUCGAUUUGUUAACCCGUAUUCUUGGGCGGCAGCAGUGCAGUGCAGUAGUUGAAAGCAUGGGAAGUGGUUUGAACAAACACUUCCUGGAUGCGUAACCUUGGGUUAAUUGGUUAACCUCUCUGAGCCUUGGUUUCCUCAUUUGUCAAGUGGGCGAAGCAGCAGUCCCGGCGUCCUGUCCUGACGGUCAGGGAGAUGAUGGCUGUCACACCCUCCGGGCUCACGAAAAGUUGGCUGCUGUUAUUAUGAUGCUGGUUCUGAUCUACGGUUUACGGCGAACUCGUUCUGUGGCCUAAAACAGUGCUGAAGGAACCGGAAAGUAAACCUUCACCUAGGGUGUGGGACGCACUCUCCACGCAGCUGUGCGGUGCAGGGAACACCAUUUUGGAAGUGACAAGAAAUGCCGUGUCCCUGAGUAGCCCGAACAGUUUUUGAGAGAGAGUCAGGAGACCUUGGUCCUGGCGUCAACAUUGCUACCGCUUUGGUGCAGGUCACAGGUUGCUGGUGAGGCCCUCACCUUCCUUGAGCCUCGGGUUCUUCAAAGAAAAUGAUGGGUUGGGGAGUUCUCUUGUGGUGCAGUGGCUUAAGGAUCAGGCAUUGUCACUGCAGUGGCUCUGGUUGCUCAGGCCUGGCCUGGGAACUUCUGCAUGCUGCAGGUGUGGCUUAAAAAAAAAAAAAGGGGGGAGUUCUUGUCUAGGUUCAGCAGAAAUGAAUCUGACUAGGAACCAUGAGGUUGCGGGUUUGAUCCCUGGCCUUGCUCAGUGGGUUAAGGAUCCGGCAUUGCCGUGAGCUCUGGUGUAGGUCACAGACACGGCUCGGAUCGCGUGUUGCUGUGGCUCUGGCAUAGGCCAGCAGCUGUAGUUCCUAUUCGACCCCUAGCCUGGGAACUUCCAUAUGCCAAGGGUGCAGCCCUAAAAAGCAAAAAAAAAAAAGGGGGGGUUGCUCCCUGCCAGCUUCCAGGGGUUCUAGUUGGGCCCUGUGCUCCUUUAUCCACUGCAUACUUUUCAGUGUUGGGGACACACAGUGCCCCCAACUCCCUCAGCUCUGCUUCCUAACUCUUCAAAGCUGCCACAGAGAGAGCUGACCUGGGGAAAAUAUUGUUGGUCUUAAGCCUUUGAUCCCAGAGACAAAGUCCCAGCCCUGGACACCGGAUCUUCUUUCUGCCCAGGUCCGGCCCUCCCCUUCAGCCUCACCCACUUUCAUAUUUGAGCCCAUGGGGAGGAGAGCCAGCCCCGCCUGAGCCACCCUUCCCCCACCGCAGGCAUGAAGGCCUUGGCCUCAGACAUGCAGGCAGAGCAUGCAGACAGCUGGAAGCACGCAGACGCAUGUGCCUGGGUGUACUUGUGGGUCUCUGCAGUUAUAUUUUAACUUGUUCCUGUUUUUUUCUCAGUUGUGUCAGGACUGAGAUUAGAGGAAAAGAUUGUAGGAUGGCAGGGCUGGCAUUCUCUACCCUCUGCCUGAGGGAAGAAGCCACCUGUCAAAUGAGAUGUUAGUCUCUAGGGGUGUUGUGGGGGUCGCUUCCUUUGUCUGCCCCCACUCCCUGCAAGAUGUGCCGGUGGUCCAACAGGAUUUGAGGGAGGAGGGGCAUGAGACAGAAGCCCCGGUGGGACUCAGAGGGCGGGAGCUUUUCCAAGGAGCCAGGAGGGCUGCAGGCCUGGGAGCAGGUGUGUCUGGUGGUGGCCUCAUGCUGAGUUCUUUGCCCCCUUGGUCCCUGCUGCCAGAUUGUCAGCUGUCCACUCUUUACUGGAGCUGCCUCUCCAGUCACGGGUCAGUCUGGGGGACUGGGUUAGAUGGCCAGUGAGAUCUCCAAGGGGAAGAUGGACUAAGGAAGGGGUUCUCCCUUUCCCUUCUCUGUCCUCUUUGUUUCAGAGGCUGAGCCCACCUGCCUGACACCUGGCACCCAGCUCGUCUGGGAUGCUGUCUGUCUCCCUGCUAAAGCUGAGGCCUGGUCUUCUGCCUGUCUCCCUUUUCUUCAGUGCCUCCUGGAGGGGGCGGCCCAGAGGAGCAGGUUUUGGAAGGCAGGGCUUGAUGUGUGUUGAAGGAGGAGUCUGUGCUUUGUGCAGUGAGGUGUGGCAUUGGCUGGCUUGCUUAAGCUGGGGCAGAUCAGAAGGCUGGUUCGAGGGGUGCAGGGAAGUCUGACGGCGCUACUCUGGUAUUAUCGCCCUUCCUUUAAACUUAAGACCUAGGUGGAGUUCCCUGGUGGCUCAGCCAGUUAAGGAUUGGCAUUGUCUCUGCUGUGACUGGUGACUACUGUGGCACAGGUUCAAUCUUUUGAUUCCUGGCCUAGGAAUUUCCCAGUCCACUGGCAUGGACCAACAAACAAAAAAACC
rnacentral:lncRNA from 1 species